CUGAAAGUGGAUGGUGUUGCCCUGGUGGCGGAUAUGGUUGCUCUGCCAUUUGUUGGGGGGCAAAGGGUGGUCCAUAAGGCUGAUGUCCUGUCAUUUGAGGUUAAGGUCCAUAACGUUGAUGUCCUGUCAUUUGAGGUGAAGGUCCAUAAGGUUGAUGUCCUGACAUUUGAGGUGAAGGUCCAUUUAGUGUAUAAGGAUUUGUAGUUGUUUGAGAAGAUACCCUUUGCACAUGAGAAGGAUGUUGGUAUUGGGGGUGGUGAAGCUGCCCUGUUGAAUGAGAAGGUCCAGCUGUUGGUAUCCGCGGCCCAUUUGUUGG
rnacentral:lncRNA from 1 species